CGUCUGGGGGUCAACCAAGAAGAGUAUGGGAGAGCAGGGGCUGUGUCCUGCAGGACGUGUGGGCGUCCUUGGCACGGCGGGACGUCUAGAGUCACGGAUGAGGUCACGGGGCGUGAGCGAGGACUGAACGGAGACUGGGGCCUGCGUCCCAGGGGCCCCGGGGGGGGGGGGCGGUGCUAGGGGCCGAGGGACAGGGAGCCUCUGGGCGGAAGGAGGGCGGACCAGGGGAUCAGCGCUGCCGGAGGCACUCAGUGACUCGGAUCUCGUCCAGGAUCCCACAUGACAAUGAGCUAUUUUUCUCGUAAUUGGUUAAAAAAGAAAAAAAAAAAAAA